CUUGAGCGAGCCGAGCCACAGCGGCCCGUCGGCGCGGUCCUGGCCAUACGUCGCGAGCAGCGCCUGCGCCUC
rnacentral:antisense_RNA from 1 species